rnacentral:tRNA from 1 species
CGGGCUGUAGCGCAGUGGUUUAGCGUACUUGACUGGGGGUCAAGGGGUCGGGAGUUCAAAUCUCCCCAGCCCGA